rnacentral:misc_RNA from 1 species
AAGUCGUAACAAGGUUUCCGUAGGUGAACCUGCGGAAGGAUCAUUAUCGAGUUAGGGUCUCCGGGCCCGAUCUCCAACCCUGUGUCUAUAUACCAUGUUGCUUUGGCGGGCCGUCAGGCUCACGCCCGGCUACCGGCUCACGCUGGUAAGCGCCCGCCAGAGAACCCCAAACCCUGAAUGUUAGUGUCGUCUGAGUACUAUAUAAUAGUUAAAA